rnacentral:rRNA from 1 species
GAUGAACGCUGGCGGCGUGCCUAAUACAUGCAAGUCGAGCGAACAGACGAGGAGCUUGCUCCUCUGACGUUAGCGGCGGACGGGUGAGUAACACGUGGAUAACCUACCUAUAAGACUGGGAUAACUUCGGGAAACCGGAGCUAAUACCGGAUAAUAUAUUGAACCGCAUGGUUCAAUAGUGAAAGACGGUUUUGCUGUCACUUAUAGAUGGAUCCGCGCCGCAUUAGCUAGUUGGUAAGGUAACGGCUUACCAAGGCAACGAUGCGUAGCCGACCUGAGAGGGUGAUAGGACACACUGGAACUGAGAGACGGUCCAGACUCCUACGGGAGGCAGCAGUAGGGAAUCUUCCGCAAUGGGCGAAAGCUUGACGGAGCAACGCCGCGUGAGUGAUGAAGGUCUUCGGAUCGUAAAACUCUGUUAUUAGGGAAGAACAAAUGUGUAAGUAACUAUGCACGUCUUGACGGUACCUAAUCAGAAAGCCACGGCUAACUACGUG